rnacentral:misc_RNA from 1 species
AAAAAAAACACAUGGAAACUCCAAUGAAUCAACAAAUAUUUUUAAUGCUACUGAAUAAACAAAGAGAUAGCAAAGCCUGAAUCUGCAGAAGAAUGAUAUUUAUCACCAUGCUAAACCAUUGAGUACAUUUGUUUCAUUAUACUAGCAGCCAGUUCACCUAAAAUUCUCAGCAUAAGGGAAUGAUAAAUCAUUCAAAUCUUUCAUCUAAAAUAUUAAGAAUUUGAAUUUUUUUUCUGAAGAAAUCAAUGCAUCAGAAGGGUACAUUGCCAAAAAUCUCGUAUUUGUCAAAUCUCAGUAAGAAGGAAAAGAGAUUCAUGGGAUCACAGCUUAAAUUUGGCUAUUUCACAUCACUGCUAAUCGUCUUAACAAUCUUGGCAAGCUGUUUUCUACAGAGCUAUUUUGCCAUAGAAAAUUGUUCAAGGCAAUCCUCCAAAAAUGUUUAGAGCUCUUAUAUGCAUAAAGUGUUUGCAAGAGGUUCGUCCACUUGAAUCAAAUUCAAACUAUUAGCUUAAUUACUCCCUAAUUUGAACAAAAACUGGAAGAAUUAAGUCAAAAUAAAUGGCACAUAUUUCUCACUUAUGAAACAGUUGUGAGCAAUUAGACCUUUAAUCAUUUUUUAAGCAGAAUAGAUCCAAAUUCAAUAGAAAGGGGGGCGAUAACACCCAUGCCUUUCCAACAUCACAUGCUCCAGAUUGAAAGCUUUUAUUAUAUGUUGCACAUAUAGUAUAUGCAAAACAUUAAAGAACAUGUAAACAAACAGAAAAGAUAUAUCUAAAUUAAUCAAUGUAUAAUAAUGAUCAAACAAAUUAAAAACAACUAAACAGUACAACUAUUAAACAUGUUCUCAUAAUUCAAAGGCAUUGCUAUUACCGAACUCUUUGGCAUUGAAGGU